UACGUAGGGCGCAAGCGUUGUCCGGAUUUACUGGGCGUAAAGAGCGCGCAGGCGGUCGAUCAAGUCGAGUGUGAAAGCCCCCGGCUCAACUGGGGAGGGUCAUUCGAUACUGAUCGACUCGAAGGCAGGAGAGGGUAGUGGAAUUCCCGGUGUAGUGGUGAAAUGCGUAGAUAUCGGGAGGAACACCAGUGGCGAAGGCGACUACUUGGCCUGUUCUUGACGCUGAGGCGCGAAAGCUAGGGGAGCAACGGGG
rnacentral:rRNA from 1 species